UGCAAAUGUCUCCGUAGUUCUCAGCGCCAGUGGUUACUCUUUCAUUCACCCCACGAACGAUGCUUGGGUGCCUGGCCUUUGACAGAGAAAUGAACGAGACCCAGUCCCUGUCCACAUCAAGGACUGAAGGGCUGGGUGGCAAACGCUAUACCUCCGAAGAACUGGAGGCGCGGGGACCGGAUAGAAGAAAGCUGUCCGGGAGGCGUGACGGCCCUGGGGCUGGCAGUCGCCUGCCCUGUUGGCACUCCGGUGUUUGGUGAACGGAGAGCAUUCCGGGUGGAAGAAAGGUGGCUGCCAGGAAAACGUCUCGGCGUGCAGGACGGGUGGGUGCCAGGAGAUAAAGCUGGAAAGGUAAGCAGGGGCGACCCUGACGGGCUUCACGUGCGUGAUAAGACAUUUGCACAAUGUUCUCCGUAGCCCAGACGGCGUUUUACUCAGCCCUGAUUUACACUUUAAAGUACAACUGGCAGCCAGGCUGGGUUGGAGGAGGAAAAAAUCUGAAGUACGUAUGAAGUAUGGUGACAGAAUGGAGGCGGAGGUGGGCUGAUAAUUCAUUUAUUCAUUAGCAGUCUUGUCUCUUCCAUGGAGAUGGAACUCGUGUGAGAGAAGAACUGUGUCUGUUUAGUUCAUUUCUCUUGCCCAGCACUCAGAAGAGUGCCUGGCACACGUAGGCCUCAAACUACUGUUUGUUGGAUGGAUGGAUGGAUGGAUGGAUGGAUGGACGGACGGAUGACCUUGCGGUGGAUAGGACUUUCUGAUUGGAUAGCAGAGGAAAAUGGGAAGUGUAGGUGAGCGAUCACCGGAGACGCGAGGAACACAAAUAGUGGAAUCCUGUUUAGUGGGUGUUUGCUGAGCUCUUUUCGUGGGCUGCCCACUAACAAGAGGCUGUAGGGCAAAAGACCAGAGCAGGCUUGCAACUAAUACUGUAGUCAAGGGAGGGGCCCAGGGCCCAGAGUGUGCUAACAAGUGCCAACUCUAGGUUUUAGUCCCACUAACAACAACAACAAAAAAUGUCAGCUUCCUUUCUGACCACUUACAGGACCAAGUUGAGAAGUGCAUGCUUUUUCGUUUUGUUUUGAAUAUUACCAUCCACAUCCAAAGAGUCCAGAUGACUCUGACUUUCAAGCUGUGUGUUAUUUUGUUAUAUCGAUGUGUCAUCAUUUAAUAAAACAAUUCCCUGGAGCUUUUGUUGUCUGUUUACCUCCAAAGAUAAUGCAGGAAUGAAUAUCUUCAUGGCUUCCUUUUCCUUUUUCCUUUUUUUUUUUUGUUUUGUUUUUUUUUUUUUGUUUUUUGCUUUUGUUGACCAUUUCACAGAUUACCAGUUAAGUAAUAUUACAUCUUGUAGCUUUUACUACAUACUCCCUCGUUGCUUUCCGAAAAGUUAAUGAUGGCGACUGCAGUAUUUAUUUACACAACAAUUACAAAUUGAGUAUCUACUAGUGGUAGGCACUGAGUUGAGCUCUAGGGGUAUAAUAUGGGCAAUAUAGACACAGACCCUGCUGUCGUGUAGCUUCCAGCCUCUAAUGGGAGGGUGGCAUUCAUCAGGUUAUCACACAAGUGUGUAAUUGCAAACAGACAAAUAGUGUGAAUUAAAAAUACUGGCCGCUAGCCAAGACAGUGAAACCAGUAUUAUAAUUUCAGCAGCACUGGUGGUAGUUUGCGGGGUUUUAUUUUUAAUUUUCCUACUGUACUAUCUAACAAAUGGUUUCUCAGUGUUGCCUUGCCUUUUAGAUUUUAAGUUAAAGCCAAUUGUUUCUCUCUAGUUCACCCUGCUGCUUAAGGGGAGUCCUCUAUUGUAAACCAGCAAAAAAUUACAAAUUUAGGCCUGAGGUUUUUAAAGAUGAAUAGCUAGAGUGUACUUAUGAACUUGUUCUACCCUCUCCUUUAUCUUUUAAUGGGACUCCUCAUAUCAGUCAUUUCAACUGUCUGAGCUCAAUAGAGAAGAAUAAUUCUUGCCUACCUAACUCACAAGGCUACUAUGAGAAUUAAACAAACAAACAAAAAAAUUAAAAGAGCUUUGCAAACAACAAAGAUGUUUGGAUGAUAAUCUCCUGCAUCUGCACUGCCCUAUUUACUUUUGUUCGCUUUAUUUCAUGUAUAUUUAACACAUAUUCAUUGGACGUUGAUCUUGUGUCAGGUGCUGGAGACGCACAAAUGAACAAGAGCCUAUCUGUGCCCUCAUGGAACUUACAUUGUAAUGUGCACUGGAGCACUGUGGGUCAAGGUGAAAAGAAUUCGAAAGUCACUACCUACCCAGUCCCAUCACUGCACAGCACAGGAACCAGAGGAGUGCACAUUUACCUUUCCCAUGUUUUGAUUGUUCCUCGCUGCCCACGUGACCCACGGCCGAUGCUCCCUCUCAGGCACACCCGGAGGAUGCUUUAUCUAAGUAUUAAAAGAUUGGACCCUGUCUGCAAGUAAUGGGGUAACAACUUUCAAUUCCCAUUUAAAGAUUUCCGUAUUAUCCCCUAU
rnacentral:lncRNA from 1 species